rnacentral:rRNA from 1 species
CCUACGAGCGGCAGCAGUGAGGAAUAUUGGUCAAUGGUCGGGAGACUGCACCAGCCAAGCCGCGUGAGGGAGGAAGGUACAGAGUAUCGUAAACCUCUUUUGUCAGGGCACAAAGACUGGGACGCGUCCCCGGAUGAGUGUACCUGAAGAAAAAGCAUCGGCUAACUCCGUGCCAGGCGCCGCGGUAAUACGGAGGAUGCGAGCGUUAUCCGGAUUUAUUGGGUUUAAAGGGUGCGCAGGCGGUCUGUUAAGUAAGCGGUCAAUGCCCGGGGAUCAACCCCGGCCCGCCGUUGAAACUGGCAGUCUCGAGUUGGAGAGAAGUAUGCGGAAUGCGCGGUGUAGCGGUGAAAUGCAUAGAUAUCGCGCAGAACUCCGAUUGCGAAGGCAGCAUGCCGGCUCCACACUGACGCUGAGGCACGAAAGCGUGGGUAUCGAACAGGAUUAGAUACCCUAGUAGUC